GGCCGGUUAGCUCAGUGGUUUGAGUGCAGUGCUGACAACAAUGACCGAGGUCGCGGGUUUGAUUCCCGCUCGGUCC
rnacentral:tRNA from 1 species